AGUGAUGAGUUAUGCAAACGCAGCUGAUAUUGCAUCAUACUCCCAAAUCUUCUCUAAAUUAGCUCUAUGUCAGGGGGCUAUACUGAGAGAAUAGGUUUCUGGAGCCACCAUGAACGAAACAAGUGAUCUUGUCCAGGUGACAGGUAUUUUGAGUGCUCACAGAAAGAGUGCUCCUUUAAUAUGAGCAGUGUCUGAAGAAUGUCGGAGCUGAUUCUGCCUCCUGCGGCGGGAGGCAGAAGGAUACCAGAGGAUGAAACUCCAGCCCUUUAAAGACUGAGGAACAAACAUUUAUACAGAAGUGCAGUCUGAUAUGCAUACUAUCUCAGGAAAAAAAGGCAUCUACGGGCAGAGAACAUAGCACAGAAAUGGUGGGAAGACCAGGCCAUGGCCAUAAGCAGUAUGGGAGCUGUUACCAACUAUCUUUUAAACAGAGACAGU